GUGCCUGCCUCUGCAGCACAUACACUAAACUUGGAAUGAUACAGAGAUUAGCAUGGCCCCUGUGUAAGGAUGAUACACAAAUUCAUGAAGCAUUCUUUAUUUUA